GCGCCUCUAGCUCAACUGGCAGAGCACUUGACUCUUAAUCAAUAGGUUCCGGGUUCGAGUCCCGGGGGGCGCA
rnacentral:tRNA from 2 species